UGGGACGUGUACGUUGGUUGUUUG
rnacentral:siRNA from 1 species